rnacentral:lncRNA from 1 species
GUUGGUUUUAUUGAUUUGUCAGCUUGGCUAGGCUAUGUAAGGUCUCCAGUUGUUCAAUCAAGCACUAAUCUAGAUGUUGCAGGUAGGGUAUUUUGCAAACAUAAAUAAAAUUUCUAAUCAGUUAACUUUAAGUAAGAGAGAUUAUCCUGGAUAUUCUGCAUGGACCUGACUGAAUCCACUAGAAGGCAAAAACGCAGCAGAGAGAUUUCCUGAGAAAAAGAGACCUUCUGCCUAUGGACAACAGCCUCUAGCUGUUACUGUGGAGUUCCCUCCUGCUUGGACUCUUCCUUUCCUGACUACCUUGCUGUACAGGCUAAUAGCUUAAGCCUCCACCUGUGGGUUUGAGACUGCCCAUAAUCUCACUCUUCCUGACUGGCUGCCCUGCAGAUUCUGGACUUGCUUAGCCAGACCCCACAAUCAGAUUUGAGUCUACUUGCACUUGGACUGAUGUAGCUACAAAUCAAGAAGGAAAAGAAAAGAAAGGGAUGUUCCCAACCAUUCACACUGUUUGAAGUGCUGAGAACCAUCGACCCAACUCAGCUCGUAAUCUCCUUCGACUUUGAUGUUUCGCCAUGACCAGGCUCCAGGAGUUGCUCAAACAAAAAGAUGACAUAUCCUAAUGACCUGUGUGUUUUUCUUAAUGAUAGACUCAUAAAAAGAUGCUGAAGGUAGAGUAAAAAUAUAUGUGCUUACCUUUCUAUAUUCCUUCUCAUGUGUACUUGUGCAUAAGAACAUAAUUAUGUCUGGUUUUGUGCCUCCGGCAGACGCUAUUGUUUACUCACCCAGCAGGUACAUCUCAUCUCCUCCCUAUUUGUUGAACUGCUCCAAUUUUUUUCAGAUAAAAGGUGAUUAAACAUUUACCAGACCAUCACUGAGUGGUCUCUGGAAGUGUGAUGUUUGGCUCUAGUGACACCAUCUCGUUACCAGGAAUACAGACAUUAGUGGCACACUGAGAGUGCAGAUGGUGGAGGUGGGAGUGUGAUGGUGAUGAGAAAUCCUGAGUUCUUUAUAGCAUUCUUCAGCUGCUUAACCAGCCCUGGAAGCACUUCACCUUCAGAUCCUUUCUUAUGUUAACUAAUAGAUCUACAUUGUUUAAAUAUCUACUGCUCAAUAUCUUGUUACUUGACUUGAAGCUGAAAGUAGCAUGUACAGUCUGUGAAAACAGACAUAGAAUGGACUCAAUUUCUCCACUAAAG